UCUCUCUCUCUCUCUCUUUCUCUAGUGUAGCCACCUCAGGUUCUUGAAGAAGCCCCAGAGGAAGAAGGGCGCCUCCCUCAAGCCCUUGGAGGGAGGUGCCCCCUCAUAGAUCCGAAUGGUGGAUCUAUGGUUGCUGCCUUCAGAGUGCAUAGAUCUAUCGCAGAUCUCCUCAAUUUUUUUGGAGUAGCAUCUAGGUCCACAC
rnacentral:lncRNA from 1 species